UCCUGGCUCAGGAUGAACGCUAGCGGCAGGCUUAACACAUGCAAGUCGAGAGGCAGCGGGGAGGAAGCUUGCUUUCUCCGCCGCCGACCGGCGCACGGGUGAGUAACACGUAUGCAACCUGCCCCUGUCAGGGGGACAACCCGCCGAAAGGCGGGCUAAACCCGCGUACAUGCCACCGGGGCAUCCCGGAGGCAGGAAAGGCUUCGGCCGGACAGGGAUGGGCAUGCGGCGCAUUAGGCAGUAGGCGGGGUAACGGCCCACCUAACCGACGAUGCGUAGGGGUUCUGAGAGGAAGGUCCCCCACACUGGUACUGAGACACGGACCAGACUCCUACGGGAGGCAGCAGUGAGGAAUAUUGGUCAAUGGUCGGGAGACUGAACCAGCCAAGCCGCGUGAGGGAUGAAGGUACAGAGUAUCGUAAACCUCCUUUGUCAGGGAACAAAGGCGGGGACGCGUCCCCGGAUGAGUGUACCUGAAGAAAAAGCAUCGGCUAACUCCGUGCCAGCAGCCGCGGUAAUACGGAGGAUGCGAGCGUUAUCCGGAUUUAUUGGGUUUAAAGGGUGCGCAGGCGGUCUGUUAAGUCAGCGGUCAAAGCCCGGGGCUCAACCCCGGCCCGCCGUUGAAACUGGCAGUCUCGAGUUGGAGAGAAGUAUGCGGAAUGCGCGGUGUAGCGGUGAAAUGCAUAGAUAUCGCGCAGAACUCCGAUUGCGAAGGCAGCAUGCCGGCUCCACACUGACGCUGAGGCACGAAAGCGUGGGUAUCGAACAGGAUUAGAUACCCUGGUAGUCCACGCAGUAAACGAUGAAUACUAGCUGUCCGGGGCGAAUGAGCCCUGGGUGGCACAGCGAAAGCGUUAAGUAUUCCACCUGGGGAGUACGCCGGCAACGGUGAAACUCAAAGGAAUUGACGGGGGCCCGCACAAGCGGAGGAACAUGUGGUUUAAUUCGAGGCAACGCGAAGAACCUUACCAGCCCUUGACAUCCUGCUGGCAGCCCGGUAAUGCGGGCUUUCCUACGGGACAGCAGAGACAGGUGGUGCAUGGUUGUCGUCAGCUCGUGUCGUGAGAUGUUGGGUUAAGUCCCGCAACGAGCGCAACCCCUGCUUACAGUAGCCAGCAGCAAGGCUGGGCACUCUGUAAGGACUGCCGGGGAUAACCCGGAGGAAGGCGGGGACGACGUCAAAUCAUCAUGCCCCUUAUGGGCUGGGCUACACACGUGCUACAAUGGCGCCAACAGAGUGAGGCAAACCUGCGAGGGGGAGCAAAGCACAAAAAAGGCGUCCCAGUUCGGAUUACAGCCUGCAACCCGGCUGUAUGAAGCUGGAAUCGCUAGUAAUCGCAGAUCAGAAUGCUGCGGUGAAUACGUUCCCGGGUCUUGCACUCACCGCCCGUCAAG
rnacentral:rRNA from 1 species